GGGGAACGCGGCGGAGCUGUGAGUGGGCAACUCCGGUCCCUGAGGUCUGGAUUCUUUCUUUCCUACUGAGACACAGCGGAGCCAAUCCCAGGAGCCCAGUAAUGGAGAGGCCCAAGAAGAAGAACCAGCAGCUGAAAGUCGGGAUCCUACACCUGUUCAGGAGACAGAAGAAGAUCAGGAUAGAGCUGAGACCCAAGUGCGUGACAUGGAAGGUGAUCUGCAAGAGCUGCGUCAGUCAAAGACCGGUGUUAAAUCUGGAUUUGGGUGCUGGCGUCAAGGUGAAGAUUAUACCCAAGGAAGAACACUGUAAAAUGCCAGAAACAGGUGAAGGGCAACCACAAGUUUAAAUGAAGACAAGCUGAAAUGACGCAAACUGGUUUUAUAUUAGAUAUUUGACUUAAACUAUCUCAAUAAAGUUUUGCAGCUUUCAC